GUGUACAGUUUUGACCGACAAAAGAACAGGGGGAGGAGAAAGAAGGGGAAGGGCUAUGAGGUGAAAGGCAGAUCAGAAAUAAGCCCAGCUUGGAAGAAAGUGAGGAUCCCAACCUGGCAGAGAAAGAGGAGCUGAUGAAGGAGACUAGAGAAGGACCCGUCUGGAAAUACAGAACUUGGUCCAAGUAAAGGAGGACCUUGAAGGAAAUACACCUGAGAGACCAAAUGCAUACAAUGAAUCCAGCAAUUACCAACCACCAUGGGCGGACAGCAAAUGCUCAAACAACAAAACACCCAAGGAUGGGCGGCUGCUGGCUUCUGACUUUCCUCAUGGGGAUGGGGGUCCCAGAUCUGGGUCUAGGACUCCCUCCCACUUCUGUCCUGGGACAGCUGAUUUCAAUACUGCCAAAGACGUGGAACUUUUCUUAAGAAGGCUGUACAGAAGCAUGGUGCUGGCAUCGGCUCAGCUUCUGGUGAGGCCUCAAAGAGCUUUUAUUCAUGGUGGAAGAUGAAGCGGGAGCAGCAUGUCACCUCAUGAGAGCAGGAGCAAAAGAGAGAGGAGGGAGAUGCCACACACUUUUGAACAACCAGAUAUUGUGUGAACUCUGUCAUCACCAAAGGGAUGGGCUAAGCCAUUUAUAAGGAUCCACUCCCAUGAUGCAAACACCUCCUACCAGGCCCCACUUCCAACAUCAGGGAUCACAUUUCAACAUGAGAUUUGGAGGAAACAAAUAUCCAAACUAUAUCACCAAGACAUGAAGGAAGAGCUCUGAAGUUAGUGCUCUUAAAAGAGAUCCCAGAGAGAGCCUUGCUUCUUCGACCAUGUGAAGACACAGCAAGAAGGCACCAUUUAUGAACCAGGACAUAAACCCUCACCAGACAAACAUCCUGGUGCCUUGAUCUUGGACUUUCCAGGCUCCAGAACCAUGAUAAAUAAAUUUCUGGGGUUUAAAAUUUACCCAGUUUGUGGUCUUUUGCUAUAGCAUCCUGGACUAAGAUGUUACUCCUGAAAAUUCAGACUACUAUGUUAUUCCCUCUGAGAAGGUUCCGCUAAGCAUAAUUAAUAGUUCCUUCUGGGUUCCUAUGAGAAUGUGGGCAUAUUCCUUACAGGCACUUAGCACACUGAAUGUAAUUAGCUGUGUGUCUGUCUCCCUCACUAGACAGACAGUUUGGUUUUUUAGGGGUGAGACCACCACGUCGCAUACCUUUUCAUCUUCAGAGCUGGCACAGAAGGAUCUUAGCACAUAUUUGCUGAGUGAAUGCAAUCCCUUUCAGUCUGAUGUAUUUUCAUGCAGAGAUGUGGUGGAAAAAAAUGUGUAAAACCUGAACUUGGUUCUGUACUGAUUAUUAUCUAAUUUCUGUAGAAAUGUGAGGUGAACCAGGUCAUAACAGCCCAUUUCAAUGUAUCUUUUGGACAAGGGAAACAAUUUCCCAACCAUUUGCAGCUUGUUCUAUUGUUUCCAUUAGUCAUACAAACCUUCCCUCACCCUUCAACAUAAGCAUGUCAAGAUAGCUGCCCUCCAAAUUUUAUUUUGAGCAAAUGUCUUAUUUUUAGAGCUUUAUGCAAUCAUAUAAAAUCCUUUAAUUUAGAAAUUCUGGCUACACUGGGCACACUGCCUAGUAGCCAUGCUCUGCAAGGAGCAGUAAAAAAAUAAAAAUAAAGAAAUUCUGCAUUCUAGAAAACUCCUCCCCAUAGCUAAAAUAAAUAUAAAUUUGAAUAACAUUUUCAGACUUAUCUUUCUACAGUCCUACUUCACUGCUUCCUUGAGUUCUCUGUUACCCAUUGCAAUGCCUACCAAAGUUUCUUGAUGUUCAACUAAAUCUUCAUGCUCAUAAAUUAUCACUUGAUAUUCAACUCUUAGAGGAUACAGAACAGGAGACACAGUUUGCUAGCCUAGUGGCAUUCAGCAUUCCUGUUAGUUGAAGUUCUUGCAACAGUCGUCUACACAGCAGGGAGAUGAAUCCACAUUGGCUCCCAUGAAAUUUACCCUGGCUUCCAAGCUCUAUACCAGCAUAUCUUGCAAGAUCUCCAGAGGUAUAACUCCUUCUACGAUCCACUUAAGGAUUAUAAGAGUCACCACACUCUUAUAAUUCUUCUUUAGGGAAAUCUCAAAACAGGGUACCCUAAUUGGGUUCAUUUGUAGUCUUCCCCAGUGCAGAUGUGAGCUACCCAUCAGGGUUAUUUUUAUGCUAAUGAAUGUCACCCAGGAGUACAGCUAACAUCAUAUCAGGUACCAGGAGAACACAGCUAAUCAAAGGAUGAAUUCUGACACAGAAGGUGAGAAGGUUUAGUUGGUUAACCCUUUGCCCACAUCCAUAUCAGGUAAAAAACAAAUUUAGCACAGCAUUCAAGAGCAUCCACAGCCACAGGUCCAGGAGGCUUUCUGGGUUUAUUCACCCUCCCCCCUCAUCUUAAGCAUCAGUUACAUCUAAUGUCUCAACCCUAUCUGGAAACACAUUGCUCAUAUGUCUUACCUCAAAGGCUUUCCUACUUAUAAAGUUUCCUCCUCUGCCAUUUUCACUCUCUCUCUUUUUCAACUCAUAUUUCCUUGUGAAGCUCCUAACCAUAUGUGACCCACUUCUGCUAAAUGUUCUCUGAAAUGACUCCCUAGACACAGUUAGUCAUUCUCAUACAUCUGCCCCCAAUGACCUUUAUUUACACCAUUAUUUAAAAUGAAAAAAAGACAGGAGGAAAGAAACUAGAUGUUAUCACCUUGAAUUUUAGUGAUUUUUUUCUUUAUCUUUGAAUCCCAUACGUAGCAGAGUGUGAGCAUGUGGUCAGUACCCUACAAAUAUUGUUGAGAAUGUCUUGGAAUCAUAUGGAUCCCAAUAAUCUCCUAGAAAAUCUAUGAACCAUUUUAAAGGUAAAACAGCCCUGGUUCACAAUGUUUCAUAAAUGUUUACAAUAAUAGCGAGUACUUCUGGAGUGCUUAAUUUCUGGCCACAGUUUAUAUUUUCUUGGUUAAUCCUUGGCAUACCCCUAUGAGAUAUGCACCGUUACAGGCUCCAUUCAACUGAUAAGGACACUUAGGUUCAGAGAUGUUGAGUGAUUUGUCCAUGAUCACACAGCUGUCAGAAGUGGAGCUGGGACUCCAACCCAGGGAGGACGUCUACAGAGCCUAGUUCACACAUCUCUGUUCUUCCAUCCUUAAACCUUGUAGAAUGCAGUGGAGGAGCAAGGCAAGCUGCGGGCCAUGGGGAUUCUUUAUUCUGAUUAUCUGAAAAGACCAAAGAGUUUAGACUGCUCACUGGGCUUCCCUUCUCCCCACUGUCCAUGGAGAACAAUGUCAAGGUCAGCUUUAAAUUUCACCACGUAUGGUCUCAUUGGAACAACUGAUGAGUAGAAUAGUCCAUUUAUUGUCUUAUUUGAGAACUCUGUAGAGAUUAGUUUUAUAACAUUAGUAAAAUACACCUCAACAUUUUGACUUUUUGCCUCAAAGAUCAUUUUAACAAUUUGAGUCACUGUGAUGGGAGUUUAAUAUUUUUAAGCAGCAUAUUGACAAGUGUUUCAUACACAAAGAAGCCAAGACAGAAUUGAAGCUUACAGUGUCAGGGAGAUAGUUUGCCUACUGUUAAUAUUUGUGUCAUUGGGUUUGUAACUUUACAUAUGAUCACAAACGUUAUGUUACAUAUUAACAUAAACAUCCUCAAUAUUCAAAUCUAUCUGUGUUUCAUUUGCAUGGUGUAAGAGUGAUAGCAUCUGUCACUUAAAGAGGUUGCCUAACAGUCUUUAAUCCAAAAUAGAAAUGUGUGAGAUUUUAUCCUUUUCUUUGAUGCUUUGUAAUUAUACAAGUUAUAUUUUAUCCAAGUUUAUAUCCAUCAAUUUUUAUCUAAGUUUAUAUCCAUCAG
rnacentral:lncRNA from 10 species